AUGGGUACAAAUAUGAAUAAGAGAUCAUCUCUACUGUCAAGGAGCUCUAGUCAAGUGGGAAGGUGCAGGAAUGAGGCUGAAGUGUGGUAGAGACAAGACACAAAGGACCUUGUGUGUUGUUCUAAGGAGUUUGCAUGUGAUCCCACAGAUAGGUCUACCGAUAACAGCAUCCUAGGCAAAUCUGCCUCAACCCUGUCCUCUGAGAUCAUCAGCAAGAAGUGUGUUUACCAGGAUUCCAGUUCUGCAAAGGAGGCUCCUCAAAAGAAGGAAGCAUCCACCCACCUGAGAGACUCUGUGUCAGAGAGAACCCAGAGCUUGGACGGCAGCAUACUCGCUUCUCUCCAUGUCACCUUGUGCUCUAAGGUAAGGAAUACACUCCUGUUUCUAAAUUCACUUUGAUGAGCUGAUUUAUUUGUAAUCACCCCGAUCAAAGUCCUUCUUUGUAUUGAAGUUAAAAUCUUCUAUGCAGCCUAUAAUUCUCCUUCUCUUGGGCUGGUAGAAAGUUGGCCACCAUCCUCCUCUGUGUUGUCAUGGAAAACUGGAAUGCUUCAUGAUAGCUAAAAAGAAUUAAAUAGGUAUAUCCAGGAUUCAGAAAAGUAAACCAUAGCAAGUCAGACAAAGAG
rnacentral:lncRNA from 12 species